CCUACGGGUGGCUGCAGUGGGGAAUAUUGGACAAUGGGGGGAACCCUGAUCCAGCCAUGCCGCGUGUGUGAAGAAGGCCCUCGGGUUGUAAAGCACUUUCAGUGAGGAAGAACGCCUGGUGGUUAAUACCCAUCAGGAAAGACAUCACUCACAGAAGAAGCACCGGCUAACUCCGUGCCAACAGCCGCGGUAAUACGGAGGGUGCGAGCGUUAAUCGGAAUUACUGGGCGUAAAGCGCGCGUAGGUGGCUUGAUAAGCCGGUUGUGAAAGCCCCGGGCUCAACCUGGGAACGGCAUCCGGAACUGUCAAGCUAGAGUGCAGGAGAGGAAGGUAGAAUUCCCGGUGUAGCGGUGAAAUGCGUAGAGAUCGGGAGGAAUACCAGUGGCGAAGGCGGCCUUCUGGACUGACACUGACACUGAGGUGCGAAAGCGUGGGUAGCAAACAGGAUUAGAUACCCUUGUAGUC
rnacentral:rRNA from 1 species